AAACUGAGCCUCAAUCAAAAACAGCCACAAGAGAGUCUUCUGUGUCACUCCAGAAGAACUUCAACCUGCGGGCGAAGAAAUAUUUCAUGUAUCAAACAUGUAUCUUAAGAUGAUUGUGUCGGGGUUUUUUUUGUAAGUUGUCGCUGGCACAAGUUACAUCUUUACUGUGAAGAUAGACAUCACCUACUGCAAAAAGGGUGGUGUGAAGACCAUGUGUGCCACUCCGAAGGAUCCCAAUGCUGCAAAGGCCAUUCAGUGCGACAUAAAAGUCUUGAGCCAG